rnacentral:rRNA from 1 species
GAUGAACGCUGGCGGCGUGCCUAAUACAUGCCAGUCGAGCGAACGGACGAGAAGCUUGCUUUUCUGAUGUUAGCGGCGGACGGGUGAGUAACACGUGGAUAACCUACCUAUAAGACUGGGAUAACUUCGGGAAACCGGAGCUAAUACCGGAUAAUAUUUUGAACCGCAUGGUUCAAUAGUGAAAGACGGUCUUGCUGUCACUUAUAGAUGGAUCCGCGCUGCAUUAGCUAGUUGGUAAGGUAACGGCUUACCAAGGCAACGAUGCAUAGCCGACCUGAGAGGGUGAUCGGCCACACUGGAACUGAGACACGGUCCAGACUCCUACGGGAGGCAGCAGUAGGGAAUCUUCCGCAAUGGGCGAAAGCCUGACGGAGCAACGCCGCGUGAGUGAUGAAGGUCUUCGGAUCGUAAAACUCUGUUAUUAGGGAAGAACAUAUGUGUAAGUAACUGUGCACAUCUUGACGGUACCUAAUCAGAAAGCCACGGCUAACUACGUG